rnacentral:rRNA from 1 species
UACGGAGGGUGCAAGCGUUAUCCGGAUUUACUGGGUUUAAAGGGUGCGUAGGUGGGUGAAUAAGUCAGCGGUGAAAUCUCCGGGCUUAACUCGGAAACUGCCAUUGAUACUAUUCGUCUUGAAUAUCCUGGAGGUGAGCGGAAUAUGUCAUGUAGCGGUGAAAUGCUUAGAUAUGACAUAGAACACCGAUAGCGGAGGCAGCUUACUAAGCGAUCAUUGACACUGAGGCACGAAAGCGUGGGGAGCAAACAGG